AUAUAUAUGUGUAUAUAUGUGUAUAUAUAUGUGUAUAUAUAUAUACACAUAUAUAUACAUAUAUACACAUAUAUAUAUACACACACAUAUAUAUAUACAUAUAUAUAUAUA
rnacentral:miRNA from 10 species